UACGGAGGGAGCUAGCGUUGUCCGGAAUCAUUGGGCGUAAAGCGCGUGUAGGCGGUCCGGUAAGUCCGCUGUGAAAGUCGGGGGCUCAACCCUCGGAUGCCGGUGGAUACUGUCGGGCUUGAGUACGGAAGAGGCGAGUGGAAUUCCUGGUGUAGCGGUGAAAUGCGCAGAUAUCAGGAGGAACACCAAUUGCGAAGGCAGCUCGCUGGGACGUUACUGACGCUGAGACGCGAAAGCGUGGGGAGCAAACAGG
rnacentral:rRNA from 1 species